GGGCAGGAUGACUUGAAUACACCCGCGAGCCUGGAGUCCACGAAGACUCUGGACAAGGCAGGAGGACACGGCGGUGGAAACUGAGGAGGAACUCGCAGUUCCCUAUCACAGGGGCUCCCUUGCAGCGUGCAGAAAUGGCCCUGCAAGCAAGGACUGGCGGAAGCUGCGCUGUCUGGAGCCCGUCGAGCCGGCAGUCAGUCCAACCAGACGGUCCUGCCAAAACUGAACUCGACGCUGUCCACAAAAAGAAAUUCUGCCGACGCCACAACCAAAUAAACCACGGCAGCCACAGGCCACAAACGUGUGCAGAAGAAA